CGCCCCGCGCCUGCGCCUGCGCCUGCGCCUGCGCCGCCUCCCCUCCACUGAGAGCUUCCACCAGUCGCUCGGCUGUCAGGCGCGGUGGCCAAGUGGUAAGGCGUCGGUCUCGUAAACCGAAGAUCGCGGGUUCGAACCCCGUCCGUGCCUGGAUCCGGGGGCGUCCUUCCAUCCCUCCUCCGCUGCAGGCUUCGCUACUCCCGAUCUCGCCCGACACCCUGCGGCCGGAUUCCGAGACUACGCGGGCGGGCCAGUGUGGUCCAUCCCCGCGUGCCCCCGGCCG
rnacentral:tRNA from 1 species